rnacentral:rRNA from 1 species
GACGAACGCUGGCGGCGUGCCUAAUACAUGCAAGUCGAACGCUUCUUUCCUCCCGAGUGCUUGCACUCAAUUGGAAAGAGGAGUGGCGGACGGGUGAGUAACACGUGGGUAACCUACCCAUCAGAGGGGGAUAACACUUGGAAACAGGUGCUAAUACCGCAUAACAGUUUAUGCCGCAUGGCAUAAGAGUGAAAGGCGCUUUCGGGGGUCGCUGAUGGAUGGACCCGCGGUGCAUUAGCUAGUUGGUGAGGUAACGGCUCACCAAGGCCACGAUGCAUAGCCGACCUGAGAGGGUGAUCGGCCACACUGGGACUGAGACACGGCCCAGACUCCUACGGGAGGCAGCAGUAGGGAAUCUUCGGCAAUGGACGAAAGUCUGACCGAGCAACGCCGCGUGAGUGAAGAAGGUUUUCGGAUCGUAAAACUCUGUUGUUAGAGAAGAACAAGGACGUUAGUAACUGAACGUCCCCUGACGGUAUCUAACCAGAAAGCCACGGCUAACUACGUG